rnacentral:lncRNA from 1 species
GCCAGGAGUUACACACUUCUGCCGAGGAAGAGUUGUAUUCAGUCUGAAUCCAGUGAAAUGCUUUGGACAUCACAAGGUCUACACAGAAAGAAGCAUAAGAUCCAAGGCAAGAAGGAAUCCAAUCCAAUUGGGCAUCUUCUUGUUCCUGUUCCUGUUUCUCUGUGUAGUCCUGGUUGUCCUGGAACCAGCUGAUUGGGAUCCUGGGUUGUCCUGGAACCAAACUCACUGAGAUCCGCCUGCCUCUGCUCCAGAGUGCUGGGAUUAAAGACAUGCAUCACCGCCGUCUUGCUCAAAUCACGAAUUCACAAGGAAAGUGUUUUUUUCUUGGACAUUCCUUUUUGUAAAUCGCCAAAUUGCUAUUCUUGGCUUCUGAUUUGAAGUGGGUACAUAGCCUGGAGUAUGGUCCAUUUUGACAAAACUUUCCAUUCUACCAUUUCCUUUAUUUGCUAGGGAACAACAUGAACACCAAGUGGCACAUUUACUACAAAUGUGUAAGAGGUCUACGUACAGCUCCUGCAUUCUCCCUGGUUGGUAGCCCAGGCUUUGGGAUUCCCCAUGGUCCAAGGUUACCUGAUACUGUGGGUCAACUUGUGUACUUGACCCUUGAACUUGUUCACUUCUGUCUCCUACUCUUUCACAAGACUCCUCAGGUUUCACCUGAUAUUUGUCUCUGGAUCUCUUCAUCUAAUUCCAGCCACAGGUAGAUGAAGCCUAUCUGCAGUGUUAUGCUAGGUUCCGGAUUACAAGCAAAGCAGAGUAUCACUAAUAGUGUCAGCAGCUGACUCUCUUACAUGGGAUGGGUCUCAAAUUUGGGCAAACUUUGGUUAGUUUUUCACUCACCACUCUGCUCCAUCUCCAUUCUUGCACAUCUUGUAGGCAAGAAAAAUUUGACAUUGAAAGUUUGUGGGUGGAUUGAUGUCUCCCUCCAUCAUCUAGAAAUUCUGCCUGGCUACAAGAGAUGGCUAUUUGAGACCAUAUAUCACACUCUGAUAGGAAACUAAUCUAGAGUCAUUCCAGUGGACUACCCAUGUACUCUCCCAUCACAUGCCUCCCAUUAGUCACCAGAGAUGCACAUCCCUGUUGGUAUUCUCAUUCCCAACCCUUUCUCACCUGCCUUCUCCCAACACAUGAUUACCAUCAUAUUCUCUCAUCACAUUCUCUCCUACCUUCCUUCCAUUCACCUCAGGUGACGACUUAGUUUCCUUUUCUGAGUAAGAUUAAUGCAUCCUCACACGGGAUCUGCUUAUUACACAGUUCCUUUGGGUAGCAUGUUUAUCCUGCAAUUUAUGGCUAGCAUUCACUUGUGAGUAUGAACCAUAGGUUUCUUUCUGGCUGUGUGUUACCUCUCAAGUUCCAUCCAUUGUCCUCAAAAUUCAUGAUGUCUUGGUUUUCAUUUUUAAUUAAUUAUUUAAAUCAUUUAGAUCACAAAUGUUUCCCCUCCCAUUUCUUUUCCCAGAAUUCUCCCCAUUCCACCUCCCCUUCUCCUCACUGGGGCACUCCCGUUUACUGAGGCAUCAAGUAGAUCAUGAUUGGGAACAUCCUCUCCCUUUGAAGCUAGACAAGGCAGUCCUCUGCUUCAUAUGUGCUACAGAUCCCUGCCCAAAUUCCGUAUGAUCUUUUAUUGGUGGGUUAGUCUCUGGAGAUCCCAGGGGUCUAAGUUAGUAGACACUGAUGAUCUUCCUAUGGGGUUGCCAUCCCCU